rnacentral:rRNA from 1 species
GAUGAACGCUAGCUACAGGCUUAACACAUGCAAGUCGAGGGGAAACGACAUCGAAAGCUUGCUUUUGAUGGGCGUCGACCGGCGCACGGGUGAGUAACGCGUAUCCAACCUGCCCACCACUUGGGGAUAACCUUGCGAAAGUAAGACUAAUACCCAAUGAUAUCUCUAGAAGACAUCUGAAAGAGAUUAAAGAUUUAUCGGUGAUGGAUGGGGAUGCGUCUGAUUAGCUUGUUGGCGGGGUAACGGCCCACCAAGGCAACGAUCAGUAGGGGUUCUGAGAGGAAGGGCCCCAAAAUUGGAACCGGGGAACCGUCCCAAUUCCUACGGGGGGAAGCAGGUAGGAAAUAUGGACAAUGGAAGAAGGGUUGAACCAAGCAAGUAGGAGGGAGGAAGGCGGCCCUAUGGGUUUUUAACUGCUUUUAUAAGGGAAAAAAAGGGGUUUCGUGAGACUUUUUGGAUUUACCGUAUGAAAAAGGACCGGACAAUUCCGU